GCCCAGUGACUCAUGUUCAACGGCCGCGGUAUCCUAACCGUGCGAAGGUAGCGUAAUCACUUGUUCUUUAAAUGGGGACUAGUAUGAAUGGCAUCACGAGGGUUAUACUGUCUCCUUUUUCCAAUCAGUGAAACUAAUCUCCCCGUGAAGAAGCGGGGAUAAAACUAUAAGACGAGAAGACCCUAUGGAGCUUUAAAACUCCCCUUCAAGUGUCAGCUACUUUAUUAUUUUUAUACAAACCCAGGCACCAUGAAGCCAAGUUUUAGGUUGGGGUGACCGCGGGGCACAAAAAAACCCCCACGUUGAACGGGCCUCAGAGCCCUGAGCAAAGAGCCACAACCCUAUGCACUAAAAAAUUUACACCUAUUGACCCAAGUAUUUGAUCAACGAACCAAGUUACCCUAGGGAUAACAGCGCAAUCUACUUCAAGAGCCCCUAUCGACAAGUGGGUUUACGACCUCGAUGUUGGAUCAGGGUGUCCCAGUGGUGCAGCCGCUACUAAUGGUUCGUUUGUUCAACGAUUAAAACCCUACGUGA
rnacentral:rRNA from 1 species